ensembl:lncRNA
UAUGUAUCCAUUAUGUAUCCAUUAUGUAUCCAUUAUGUAUCCAUUAUGUAUCCAUUAUGUAUCCAUUAUGUAUCCAUUAUGUAUCCAUUAUGUAUUCAUGCAUUAUAAAGGAUUUCAGUCGGUCCCAUCAACGUUACAUCAUGAUUUGCCACCAUUUCAUCCAUCUUGGCUCAAAAUGGCGCCCAUGUCACGCCACAGUUUCCCCAACAUGCUAUGGUUUGUCAUGCUUUCCUAAUGUCACCAGUGUCUCACAUUCUUUUUCCUGAACUCUCUAUCGUUGUGACUCAUCACUUCACCUUUCACAUUUUCACCAUCUCACCCAUUGACUUAUAGAAAUGCCAAGACAUCGAGGGACAGCCGAAACACACACACACACACACACACACACACACACACACACACACACACACACACACACACACACACACACACACACACACACACACACACACACACACACACACACACAUGGAUACACACACACACACACACACGCACACACACACACACACGCACACGGAGACACACACACAUGGAGACACACACACACAGACACAUGGAUACACACACACACACACACACACACACACACACACACACACACACACACACACACACACACACACACACACACACACACACACACACACACACACACAGACACAUGGAUACACACACGGAGACACACACACACAGACACAUGGAUACACACACAGAGACACACACACACACACGGAGACACACACAGGCAAACGGCACCCCAUUCCUCUAUAUAGUGCACUACUCUUGACCAGGGACCUGAUAGAGAAUAAGGUGCCAUUUGGGACACAACAAACUUUUCAAACAACUCUAAAGCUGCGACCCAAAAACAUUCUGGCAUUUGGGACUAAAUUUAGGUCAUCAUCACCUGUGCACAGCCAGCCAGCCAGCCAGUCCCAGCCAGCCAGUCCCAGCCAGCCAGCCAGUCCCAGCCAGCCAGCCAGUCAGCCAGCCAGUCAGCCAGUCCCAGCCAGUCCCAGACAGCCAGCCAGUCCCAGCCAGCCAGCCAGUCAGCCAGCCAGUCCCAGCCAGCCAGCCAGUCAGCCCAUCCCAGCCAGUCCCAGCCAGUCCCAGUCAGCCAGCCAGUCCCAGCCCAUUGCUGUUCCCCACUUAGGAACAAACUAAACUGGUUAGAAUUUAAACUCCUUUUCCAUUGUUUUUUUUCUCUCUGUCAUCUUUGUUGUUUUUUUUGCUUCAUCCCAUCUCUGACAUUUUCUCUUUAUUUAUGUGUUCCGGAAGCAGUGGUUUAAUCUCUCUAUCUCUGUCUCUCGCUCACCCUCAUCUUAUGUGUUCAUUCACAGAUGCAAUUAUUCUCUCUAGCCUUCCUUUCUCCCAUCUCAGUGAUUUUCUCUCUUCAGUCUCUUCUCUUCCCUACCCUCUUAUGUUCUAUUUCUUUCUCUCUCUCCAUCUCUCACUCCUUUCUCCUUCACUCCUUCUUCAUCUUCUUCUCUCUCUCCUACUCUCUCUCUCCUACUCUCUCUCUCCUACUCUCUAUCUUCUGUUUCAGAGGUCUGUAGCAUUGAGAUGGUUCGUCACAAUGUCCUGGGCCUCUAGGUCCAUCUUCG